GGGGAGAACUUGGUAUCCAUGACUGUGGAGGGGCCACCCCCCAGAGAUACUGGUAUUGCUUGAGUACCCCUUGCUGGAGCUGCAGGAGGCCCUGGAGUUGGUAGGGCAGCUGGCAGAGGAGUACCAGCUGGUGUACCAAUUCCUCAGGCUCCUGCUGGGUUAGCAGGCCCAGUCCCAGGAGUUGGGGGACCAUCCCAGCAGGUAAUGACUCCACAGGGAAGAGGUGCUAUAGCAGCUGCUGCCAUUGCUGCUACUGCCAGCAUUGCUGGAGCCCCAACCCAGUAUCCCCCAGGACGAGGGACCCCACCUCCCCUGUAGGCAGAGCAGCACCACCUCCGGGCAUUAUGGCUCCUCCACCUGGUAUGAGACCACCCAUGGGCCCACCAAUUGGACUUCCCCCUGCUCGAGGGAUACCAAUAGGUAUGCCCCCUCCAGGAAUGAGACCCCCUUCACCAGGAAUGAGAGGUACACCUCCCCCAGGAAUGCGUCCUCCCAGACCUUAGGAUACUGAUACUAUUGCUACAUCUCAAUCACUCCCCCCUCACCCCGCCAUGUGUCUUGUGAAAUUGUGUAGAGUGUUUGUGAGCUUUUUGUCCCCUUUCUGCAUUAAGAAUAGCUAAUAAUAAAUGCAUAGAGAAAUUAAACUG